ensembl:snRNA U6 U6 spliceosomal RNA
GUGCUUGCUUUAGCUGCACAUGUACUAAAAUUGGAAUGAAAAAGAGACGCGUAGCAUGGACCCUGUGCAAGGAUGGCACACAAAUUCAUUAAGCAUUCCAUUUAUUU